ensembl:snRNA U6 U6 spliceosomal RNA
GUGCCCGCUUUGACAGCACAUAUACUAAAAUUGGAUCUAUACAGAGAAGAUUAGCAUGGCUCCUGCUCAGGGAUGAUGCACAAAUUCAUGAAGUGUUACAUAUUUUU